rnacentral:rRNA from 1 species
GAUGAACGCUGGCGGCGUGCCUAAUACAUGCAAGUCGAGCGAACAGACGAGGAGCUUGCUCCUUUGACGUUAGCGGCGGACGGGUGAGUAACACGUGGAUAACCUACCUAUAAGACUGGGAUAACUUCGGGAAACCGGAGCUAAUACCGGAUAACAUGUUGAACCGCAUGGUUCAACAGUGAAAGACGGUCUUGCUGUCACUUAUAGAUGGAUCCGCGCCGCAUUAGCUAGUUGGUAAGGUAACGGCUUACCAAGGCAACGAUGCGUAGCCGACCUGAGAGGGUGAUCGGCCACACUGGAACUGAGACACGGUCCAGACUCCUACGGGAGGCAGCAGUAGGGAAUCUUCCGCAAUGGGCGAAAGCCUGACGGAGCAACGCCGCGUGAGUGAAGAAGGUCUUCGGAUCGUAAAACUCUGUUAUUAGGGAAGAACAAAUGUGUAAGUAACUAUGCACGUCUUGACGGUACCUAAUAAGAAAGCCACGGCUAACUACGU